GCAGAGCACUCCUACGGGAGGCAGCAGUGGGGAAUAUUGGACAAUGGGGGAAACCCUGAUCCAGCCAUGCCGCGUGUGUGAAGAAGGCCUUCGGGUUGUAAAGCACUUUCAGUGGGGAGGAAAGGUUGAUGGUUAAUACCUAUCAGCUGUGACGUUACCCACAGAAGAAGCACCGGCUAACUCCGUGCCAGCAGCCGCGGUAAUACGGAGGGUGCAAGCGUUAAUCGGAAUUACUGGGCGUAAAGCGUGCGCAGGCGGUCUGUUAAGCGAGAUGUGAAAGCCCCGGGCUCAACCUGGGAACUGCAUUUCGAACUGGCAGACUAGAGUCUUGUAGAGGGGGUAGAAUUCCAGGUGUAGCGGUGAAAUGCGUAGAGAUCUGGAGGAAUACCGGUGGCGAAGGCGGCCCCCUGGACAAAGACUGACGCUCAGGCACGAAAGCGUGGGGAGCAAACAGGAUUAGAUAACCUGGUAG
rnacentral:rRNA from 1 species